UGACCCAUGGUGUAAUUGGCAACACGUCUGAUUUUGGUUCAGAAGAGUCCAGGUUCGAGCCCUGGUGGGUCAACAA
rnacentral:tRNA from 1 species